rnacentral:rRNA from 1 species
UACGUAGGGGGCGAGCGUUGUCCGGAUUUAUUGGGCGUAAAGAGCUCGUAGGCGGCUUGUCGCGUCGAAUGUGAAAUCUCAGGGCUCAACUCUGACAUUGCAUUCGAUACGGGCAGGCUCGAGUUCGGUAGGGGAGACUGGAAUUCCUGGUGUAGCGGUGAAAUGCGCAGAUAUCGGGAAGAACACCCGUGGCGAAGGCGGCUCUCUGGGACGGUACUGACGCUGAGACGCGAAAGCGUGGGGAGCGAACAGG